rnacentral:rRNA from 1 species
CCAGAUGGCAAGUUCUACCUAGGAGAUGCUGGCUAUGCAUGUUGCCCAGGUGUUUUUCCACCCUUCAGGAAAACCAGGUACUAUCUGAAUGAGUUCGCUGGUAACUAUCCUAGGACUCCUCAAGAAAUGUUCGAUCUCAGACACUCCACCCUUAGAGUAACGGUUGAGAGGGCAUUUGGAGCUCUGAAGAAUAAGUUUAAGAUCUUGAAUCAGAAGCUAUUCCACCCUUAGCCUGCCCAGGUUAAGCUUGUUCUUGCAUGUUGCAUCAUUCGCAACUGGAUCCUACAAUGGGGUUCUGAUGAAGUUGUGCUGUAGGAGGAAGAUGUGAUACCUGAUGAUGUGAUCAGCUCCGGUCGUGGUGUGGAGGCAUUUGACAACAAAGCGUGGAAGAACAAAAGGUUGGAGUGA